rnacentral:misc_RNA from 1 species
GAUGAAGAAUGUAGCGAAAUGCGAUAAGUAAUGUGAAUUGCAGAAUUCAGUGAAUCAUCGAAUCUUUGAACGCACCUUGCGCCCUUUGGCCAUUCCGAAGGGCAUGCCUGUUUGAGUAUCAUGAACACCUCAACUCUUCAUGGUUUUCCAUGAUGAGCUUGGACUUUGGGGGUCUUGCUGGCCUGUGGGUCGGCUCCUCUCAAAUGAAUCAGCUUGCCGGUUUUUGGUGGGCAUCACAGGUGUGAUAACUAUCUACGCUUGUGGUUUUCCACCAGGGUAACCUUCAGCAGUGGAGGUUCACUGGAGCUUACAAAUGUCUCUCCUCUGUGAGGACAGCCCUUUGAAUGUUUGAUCUCAAAUCAGGUAGGACUACCCGCUGAACUUAAGCAUAUCAAUAAGCGGAUGA